rnacentral:rRNA from 1 species
CUGCCAGUCAAGCAGGCUAUUCUCGAAGAUUAAGCCAUGUAUGUGCCAAGUUCAAACGUAUUACGUGAGACUGCGGACGGCUCAGUAAAUCAGUGAUAAUCUAUUUGAUUUUCUCUCCCAUUGGAUAACCGUGGGAAAUCUAGAGCUAAAACAUGCGGUAUCUUGACAUGCUUUCGGGUAUGUCAAAGCAUUUAUUAGUCUAAACCAACUGCUUUGUUUAUUCAAAGUAAGGUGAAUCUGGAUAACUUUGCUGAUCGUAUGGCCUAGUGCCGGCGACGUUUCAAUUGAGUUUCUGCCCUAUCAACUUGUUGGUAAGGUAUUGGCUUACCAAGGUUGCAACGGGUAACGGGGAAUCAGGGUUCGAUUCCGGAGAGGGAGCCUGAGAAACGGCUACCACAUCCAAGGAAGGCAACAGGCGCGCAAAUUACCCAAUCUAGACAGUAGGAGGUGGUGAAGAGAAUUACCAAAUGGUGGUCCAAUGGAUCACUUGUUUGGAAUGAACGUAACUUAAGAAAUUCGUUGAUAAACAACUGGAGGGCAAGUCCUGGUGCCAGCAGCCGCGGUAAUUCCAGCUCCAGUAGUCUGCUUUAAAGUUGUUGCGUUUAAAACGCUCGUAGUUGGAUCACGCAGCAGUGUCCAGUUAUCUUUUGUUCAACUCAGUCGAAUGUGUCCGUCHCHGACGGCCAUUUGGUAGUUUUGRCUCUAGAUGCAAUGCUGGAUGCUGUUAUUUGCACGUGAGAUAGAUUGUUGGCCUUAAUUGAGCCGGUAUUCUUGUCUUGCGGAGUGUGCCUUGAAUAAAACAGAGUGCUUAAAGCAGGUUUUUGCCUGAAUGUUAUAGCAUGGAACGAACAAUCGUGUAUAUGUGUGAGUCAUUGGAUAGUUACGAAUCUUUGGUUUGUAGUUGUCCGUGGCGCACACGGCACCCGCCUAAAUAUGUGUGUUGGUUACAUAUACGGUGAUGAUUAACAGAAGCGGUUGGGGGCAUUAGUAUUUGGCCGCGAGAGGUGAAAUUCUUAGACCGGCCAAGGACUAACUAAUGCUAAGGCAUUUGUCCAGACCGUAUUCAUUAAUCAAGAACGAAAGUGGGAGGUUCGAAGACGAUCAGAUACCGUCAUAGUUCCCACCGUAAACUAUGCCGACCUGGGAUCAGUUUGGAGAUAUGCAAGCUCUAAAUUGGUCCCUCUGGGAAACCUAAAGUUUUUCGGUUACGGGGAGAGUAUGGUCGCAAGGCUGAAACUUAAAGGAAUUGACGGAAGGGCACCACCAGGGGUGGAGCCUGCGGCUUAAUUUGACUCAACACGGGGAAACUUACCUGGUCCGGACGUCGAUAGGAUUUACAGAUCAAUAGCUCUUUAAUGAUCCGAUGAGUGGUGGUGCAUGGCCGUUCUUAGUUCGUGGAGUGAUCUGUCAGUUUAAUUACGGUAACGAACGAGACCACAGUCUCUAUUUAAAAGAUGGAAGAAGGUGACAUUUACGCAGUCGCAAGGCUGUGUAGGUGUUGCUGCCGAGGGAGUAGUGUAUUUNNNNNNNNNNNNNNNNNNNNGGAUUAUAUUGUGCUGCUCUCUCCUUCCAUUACGCAGCAGUCGGCCUCGGCUGGCUGUUGCCUUCUAGAGAGACAACGAGGUAUAAACAAGCUCGAGGAAGAGUGGCUAUAACAGGUCAGUGAUGCCCUUCGAUGUUCAGGGCUGCACGCGCGCUACAAUGAUAACGUCAACGAGUGUCUGCGUCGAAAGACGUGGGUAAUCUUUAAUCGUUAUCGUGAUGGGGAUUGACCGUUGUAAUUGUCGGUCAUGAAAGAGGAAUCCCUAGUAUGCGCAUUUUAUUAGAAUGUGCAGAUUGAGUCCCUGCCCUUUGUACACACCGCCCGUCGCUACUACCGAGUGAAUGGUGUCAUGAUGCCCUGGGAUUGGACGUUGGUUGGGUUUCACGACUCGGCCGAUGCUGAGAUCAGCGUAAAAUGGCGACGUUUCGAGGAAGUAAAAGUCG